rnacentral:sRNA from 1 species
GAGUUGUUAGCAGUUUUGACUUGCUCGUUUGAUUGUAAUUUGCAAAGUGGAGUGUUGUGGAGCCCUAAUGUUGGAGGAUGAUGAAACACAGACAGAACGAUUACAAGUGAGAAGAAAUAUGAUAUUCCAUGUAAUUCACAACCUAACCUUAUGUUGGGCAAUAAAGUCGUUAGUUACAGUUGGAAAUAAAGUUACUUCAGGAUAUGCAGGCUUGACAUGUUCGCAUUCUAUUUCCCUAACCUGAACUAGCCAAUGUAUUGGGUUACCCAAAAAGUAAUUGCGGAUUUUUUAAAAUAAACAAGCUAAAAGUAACAGCUGAUAACUGACAG